UACCCUCUAUGUGUCCACAUCAACACACUGGAUUUGAGAAAAACACGUAUUACACAUUACCUUGAAUUCAGACCAUCAUGAAAGCCAAGAGAACAGUGUGCAUCUAUCAUGAUAGAUCACAAUCCUUUGGGAAAGUGCUUUGAAGUAGAAACUAAACUUUUUUUUUUCUUACUUCCUCUCCUUUUCCCCCCCCCCCCCCGCCAAAUAAAUAGACUAAGCAAACAUUUUUAUUUUUAUUUAUUUAUUUAUUUAUUUUGUUUUUUGCUUUUUAGGCCUGGGAACCUCCACCUGCCGCGAGAGCAGCCCUAGGAAGGCAUAAAAGACCAAAAAAAAAAAAAAAAAAAAAAAAAUUAUGCUAUUAUACCACAGAAUAGUAUAAGUAUUUUAAAUCUUCAUAUUGUUGAAAUAAUAAUAAUGACUGUCAUAAAUUAGAAGUUACUAAAUGAGGAGGAAAUUCCCAAGGCAAAAGUGAACAUAAAAUAUUUUUUAAAAAGAAGACGAAAGCAGAAACGGUAUAUUGAGAUGAUGCAGUUAAGACCAAAUGUUGCUUUUAUCAAUGUAAAAAAUGAUGAAAUAACUUUUUUUCACUUUUUAAAGGUGUACUGAAGUAUAUAGUUAAUUUACAGUGCGAUGAAUUUUGCUGUGCAACAAAGUGAUUCAAUUAUGCAUGUACACACAAAAAAAUAACUUUUUAAAAUUUCAGAUUCUAUUAUAUAUGUGUGUGUGUCAGAAACAACUGAAAUAUCAACAGAACACUUCUCAAGUACAUUCAUUAGGAUAUGCAGCCAUAAAAAUGAUAUAAGAAAUUACAUAUAUGUGUAGAAGUUUGUGUAUACACAUUGAAAAUAUCUGAAAGCAAGUUAGUACUGUUUUUCUCUGAGCAGUGGAACUAAGAGUUGAGAAAAGAAAGACUUAACCUUGUGCAGCCUCAUGCCACUUACCUAAUAACUUUCUGGCUUCUACUUUCCCUACCUGAGGGAGCAGGAGAGUACUAAUAAUUUUAGUAUUUUAGAAAUAUAUAUGUACAUGCACAUAUAUAUAUUUUUUUGAGAAUUUCAAGUAGAAGAAAUGUACAUAUUCUGUACUUCAACUUCUUGUCUGUUUGUUUGUUUAGGGCCGCUCCCACAACAUAUGGAAGUUCCCAGGCUAGGGGUUGAAUCGGAGCUGUAGACACUGGCCUACGCCACAGCCACAGCAAUGCCUGAUCCAAGCUGGUGUGUGUGACCUAUACCAUAGCUCAUGGCAACACCAGAUCCUUAACCCACGAGCGAGGCCAGGGAUUGAACCUGCGUUCUCAUGGAUACUAGUCUGAUUUCGUUUCCGCUGAGCCACAACAGGAACUCCUGUACUUCAACUUCUUAAUGUUUCUCCUCUUUGCUUUACUAUUUUCUAUCUCCUGUUAUACAUUUUUUUUCUUGACCACAUGAUGAAUAUGUUGACGACAUCAUACACUUUAAUACUACCUUUGUACUUCAGAAGAUCAAGCAUACUAUGUGUGAUUAUCAAAUUCAGGAAUUUAACAUUGAUGCGACGCUUUGUAGUCAUUAUUCAAAUUUCAUUUGUUGUUCCAUUGGUAAUUUUUUUUUUCAGCUUCAGGAUCUAGUCCAGGAUCAUACGUUGUGUUAUCAUGACUCUAAUCUGGACCAGCUCUUCAGCCUUUCUUUGUCUUUGUUGAUUUAUGUGAAGAAUAUGGGACAGUUAAAGUAUAGGAUAUCCUUCCAUUUGAGUUUUUCUGAUUCUUCUUUCUGGUUAGAUUUGGGAUAUGCAGUAUGGGCUGACUGUGAGUGAUGGGCCCAAUGUCACAUCCAGACUCAUAGAAUGUCCCAUUGCCUCUUGUUGGUAAUGUUAAUUUGAUCACUUGUUUAAGAUGUCAUCCAGUUUCUCCACUAUAUAAUUACUAUUUUUCCUUUCGCAAUUAGUAGAUAAUUUGUGAAAAACUUUGAGACCAUGUUGAUUGAUAGUCUAUUCCUCAUUAAACCUUUCUCUCCUAGAUUUAGCAUCUUUUGAUAAUUCUUGUCUGAAUAAAUUUUUACUGUCAUGUUUACAAAAUUGUGAUUUUCUAACUACUUUAUUCUUUCUCUAUUAAUUAGUUGUCAUUCUGCUCUAAGGAAAAGGUUUCCCUUUAUUUGUUAUGAGUAUGAGAUGCUUUUUCCCUGACCACUUGAAUGUUAGUUACAGGUGAGUCCUCUUUAUCCCAAAUACUUAAGUGUUUUCUAAGAACAAGAAUAUUUUCUUAAAAACCAUAGUGCAAUUAUCAAAAUCAAAAAAAUAAUGUAAUAUCUAAUAUUUUCCAUAUUGUACUAGUUAUUCUAGUAAUGGCCUUUGUUGAGGGGAAAAAUGUCCAGGAUCCAAUCCAUUUAGUUGUCAAGUCUCCAGUUUUCAUCAGUCUGGAAUACUUCUUCAAAAAUGUCAAGGUCAUGGAAAACAUAGGUCAGUUAUUUUAUAGUCAUUUAGUUUGAGAUUUUUCUGAUGUUUCUUUAUGAAUAGAUUAAGCUUAUGAAUUUUUGGCAAGAAUGUCACAGAAAUGAUGCUGUGUCCUUUUCAGUGCAUUGUAUCAUGGUAUGCUUGUCCCAUCACAAGAUGUUAAUUUUGAUCAUUUGUUUUAGGUGGUAUCUGCUAGAUUUUCCCAAGAUUCUGAUUUUUUCUUUUAAAGUAACAAAAGGCUUGUUACAGCCUUUUAUGAGGAGCUACUUUGAGACUAAAUACUCUGUUUCCCAGCAUACUUUCACACACUAAUUUUAGCAUCCAGUGAUGUUUCUUGGCUGAAUUAAUUGUUACUGUGAUGGCUGCCAAUGGUGGUUUUCCAAUUCUGUCAUUCCUUUAACAUUUAUUAGUUGGCAUUCUACUGUUAGAAAAAGAUUCCUCUUUUUCUCACUUAUUUUAAUAUGAACUCAUGAAUUCCUAUUUUAUUCAGUCAAUUACUCUCCUUUGUUUUAAUGUCAAAUUGUUCCAUAUUUAGCCAGUAAGAGAUCUUUUAGGCUGGCCCCUGAGUCUUUUUGAUGUGUUUUUAUCAUUCUUUGAGAAAUUCCUUACUUCUCAGCACAAAAUAUUCAAAGUUUGUCUUGUUUUUUUUUUUUUUUUUUUUUUCCUCCACCCCAUCUCUGGAAUCAGCCAUUUCGCCAAAGAUCCUUAGUUUCUUUUAGUGGAGAAUGGUGUUUAAAAACUAAGAUCUGGGGAGUUCCCAUUGUGGCGCAGUGGUUAACGAAUCCGACUAGGAACCAUGAGGUUGCGGGUUCGAUCCCUGGCCUUGCUCAGUGGGUUAAGGAACCGGCAUUGCCGUGAACUGUGGUGAAGUUUGCAGAUGCGGUUUGGAUCCUGUGUUGCUGUGGCUUUGGCAUAGGCCGGCGGCUACAGCUCCGAUUCAACCCCUAGACUGGGAACCUCCAUAUGCCACGUAAGCUGCCCUAUAAAAGGCAAAAAAAAGACAAAAAAAAAAAAAAA
ensembl:lncRNA